GCUUGCUCUCUGGUGGCGAGUGGCGAACGGGUGAGUAAUGCAUCGGAACGUACCGAGUAAUGGGGGAUAACUGUCCGAAAGGAUGGCUAAUACCGCAUACGCCCUGAGGGGGAAAGCGGGGGAUCGAAAGACCUCGCGUUAUUUGAGCGGCCGAUGUUGGAUUAGCUAGUUGGUGGGGUAAAGGCCUACCAAGGCGACGAUCCAUAGCGGGUCUGAGAGGAUGAUCCGCCACAUUGGGACUGAGACACGGCCCAAACUCCUACGGGAGGCAGCAGUGGGGAAUUUUGGACAAUGGGGGGAACCCUGAUCCAGCCAUGCCGCGUGUCUGAAGAAGGCCUUCGGGUUGUAAAGGACUUUUGUUAGGGAAGAAAAGCCGGGUGUUAAUACCACCUGGUGCUGACGGUACCUAAAGAAUAAGCACCGGCUAACUACGUGCCAGCAGCCGCGGUAAUACGUAGGGUGCGAGCGUUAAUCGGAAUUACUGGGCGUAAAGCGAGCGCAGACGGUUAAUUAAGUCAGAUGUGAAAUCCCCGAGCUCAACUUGGGACGUGCAUUUGAAACUGGUUAACUAGAGUGUGUCAGAGGGAGGUAGAAUUCCACGUGUAGCAGUGAAAUGCGUAGAGAUGUGGAGGAAUACCGAUGGCGAAGGCAGCCUCCUGGGAUAACACUGACGUUCAUGCUCGAAAGCGUGGGUAGCAAACAGGAUUAGAUACCCUGGUAGUCCACGCCCUAAACGAUGACAAUUAGCUGUUGGGACACUAGAUGUCUUAGUAGCGAAGCUAACGCGUGAAAUUGUCCGCCUGGGGAGUACGG
rnacentral:rRNA from 1 species